AUUGAACGCUAGCGGGAUGCUUUACACAUGCAAGUCGAACGGCAGCGCGGACUUCGGUCUGGCGGCGAGUGGCGAACGGGUGAGUAAUGUAUCGGAACGUGCCCAGUAGCGGGGGAUAACUACGCGAAAGCGUAGCUAAUACCGCAUACGCCCUACGGGGGAAAGCAGGGGAUCGUAAGACCUUGCACUAUUGGAGCGGCCGAUAUCGGAUUAGCUAGUUGGUGAGGUAACGGCUCACCAAGGCGACGAUCCGUAGCUGGUUUGAGAGGACGACCCGCCACACUGGGACUGAGACACGGCCCAGACUCCUACGGGAGGCAGCAGUGGGGAAUUUUGGACAAUGGGGGCAACCCUGAUCCAGCCAUCCCGCGUGUGCGAUGAAGGCCUUCGGGUUGUAAAGCACUUUUGGCAGGAAAGAAACGGCGCGGGCUAAUACCCCGUGGAACUGACGGUACCUGCAGAAUAAGCACCGGCUAACUACGUG
rnacentral:rRNA from 1 species